CGGGAUCUGAGAGAUUGGGAAGUACCCGCUGAAUUUAAGCAUGUUGAACAGUACUCUGAAGAGAUUGGAAAGUUAUCCCUAAAUGCGGACAGGGCAAUGUGGUGUUUAGAUGCUAGCCGGGGGGUACUAUUCCACUUGAAGUCCAGCUCCGAUCAUGGCUUGGAUUUGUCCCAUAGAGGGUGAAAGGCCCGUACGAGUGGAAAUUAUGCUUUGUAGUAUCCCUUAGAUGCUGGUGUCUUGGAGUCGGAUUGCUUGAGAAUGCAGUCCAAAGCGGGUGGUAAACUCCAUCCAAGGCUAAAUACUGGCACGAGUCCGAUAGUAGACAAGUACCGUGAGGGAAAGUUGAAAAGUACUCUGAAGAGAUUGUUGAGA
rnacentral:rRNA from 1 species